UCGUGAAAUAAAAGUUCUUAGGGUGUGCAACUCUGGUGAUGAAUCUGUUGUUUUCCCAAUUACUUUCCUAGAAAGAUUUCACAAUCUAGAAAAGCUUGUGGUGAUUUCUUAUGAAUUCAAAGAGCUGUUCUGCAAUGAAAGAGAUUGUGGUGUGGAGACAUAUGCUGGGACACUGCCCACGAUCAGAAGCUUAAAAUUGAUUGGUCUUGAUAAUCUCAAACAUUUAUGGAAGCAGGACGUACAAGUAGACCGCAUUCUCCCUAAUCUGGAAACUCUUCAAGUCUACCAGUGUGACAAACUUAUUAGUUUAGGGUCAUCCUCAGCAUCGUUUCAAAAUCUCUUGACGUUGAAUGUGUGCAGCUGUGGCUCAAUGAUAUGCUUAGUUACAUCUUUAGCAGUCCAAAGUCUGGCCCAACUCAAAAAAUUGACGAUAAGAGAGUGCAUUUCCAUGAAGGAAAUAGUUGGAAAUGAGGGUGAUGAAGCAACAUACAACAUUAAUUUCAGUAAGUUGAAAAGUUUGGAACUCUGUGAUUUACCACAAAUUAAAAGCUUUUGUUCAGGCAACCACACAUUUGGGUUCCCAUCUUUAGAAGAAGUAAUUGUGAACAAAUGUCCCGAAAUGGAGAUUUUCUGUAAGGGAGUUUUAAAUGCGCCAAUGCUGGAAAGAGUACGAGUAACAGACAAAGAUGAUAAGGGACAUUGGGGUGGUGACCUUAACAGCACUGUCCAACAAUUGUACGCCGAAAAGGUACUUGCUCAUUUUAAUUUAUCUAACCAAUUAGUUGUCUUUGUAAGGCUUUUUUUGUUGGUGGAUGCUUUUGUUUGCUUAAUUUGAUAAGGUUUCUAUUUUUAUUUCUUUUGUUUUUGUGGUUACCUAUGAACUUAAUCGUUCUUUUUUGUUGGAUUUUGUAGGUUGGAUACAAAGGAGUGGAGUAUGUAGUACUCUCCGAGUUUUCUAAGUCAACAGAAAUAUGGAAAGAGAAUCCUGAAGGAGUUUUCAAUUUCGUAAAUCUUACAUAUUUGGAGGUUUACAAUUGUAAGAGCCUGAAGUACAUAUUUACUGUUUCUAUGGCUUUGGAUCUUCUGCAAUUGAAGGAGAUAAAAGUAAGAAAUUGCCCUAUGAUGGAGCAAAUAAUCACAAAUGAAGGAGCAGAGGAAGCAUCAAUCGUGCUGCCCAGGCUUGUCCUUAUAACUCUUAGGUCAUGUUCCAACCUGAGGAGCUUUUCUUUGGGAAGUAUUACAAUGGAAUGUCCAUCUUUGCUAUCUGUUGAUGUAGAUAAUUGUCCAAAAAUGUUAGCAUUGGCAUCUACAUUUGAAGGAGAGAAGGAUAUAGAGACAGUUGCGGCCUUUUUCAAUGAUAAGGUUAGUCUCUGCAUGGUUUCUUAACAUUUAAAACGCUUUUCUUUCCAAAGUUUUUGAUGCAAUAAGGAUUAUGUAUGUAGGUUGUAUGUCCAAAUUUGCAGAAUGUGCGACUAUCCUCAAUUGACGUUCAGAGAAUAUGGGAUGACCAACUUCCUGAAAUGUCUUCUUAUGCUCAAAAUUUAAAACAAUUGACUGUCGAGGGCUGUAGAAAUCUAGAAGAAGUUAUCUUUAUAGAAGGAUUACCAGAAGAUGGCAUGAUGAGCCAAAUAUUCCCUAAACUAGAAAUUUUGCAAUUCGAAGACCUUCCCAAACUCGCGAGAUUCUGCCAUGGAAGUUACUUUGAAUUCCCCUUGUUAAAAAAGCUUAUAAUGAUGAACUGUCCUGCAUUGAAGACAUUCAUCUCCGAUUCUACAGAGACAAACGAAACUCUUAUUUGUCAAAAAGCGAAAGGAAACAACUCAGAUAUUGAUUCCCCUCCUCUCUUUAGUGAAAAGGUGAUUACUCCAUUUGUCUUUUCUUUAUCACUCUUCUUUUUUUUUUUUUUAUGUAUCCUCAAGUUUUAAAUGUUUGAUUCCCCUUUCCUUUGUUACAUUUUUUCCUUGUUAUUUAGUUGUUGAACAUGAAGAUCUAUGAUCUGCAAUAUUAUUGACACAAUCAAUAAAUUUAGCAGGUGGCUUUCCCUCAAUUAAAGGAAUUGGGAAUCGUAGGGAUGGCAAACUGCAGAAAGAUAUGGCCUGAUCAACUCGUUGGUGAUUCAUUUUGCAAGCUAAAUGAUUUGUGGGUGUACAAAUGCAAUCGGCUGUUGAACAUUUUUCCACUUAAUAUGAGGGCAAGACUCCAGAAUCUAGAGGAUUUCCGAAUAAGAGAUUGUGAUUCAUUAGAAGAAAUAUUUGAACAUGAAGCGCUCAAUACCAACGACUUUUGUGAUUCAUUAGAAGAAAUAUUUGAACAUGAAGCGCUCAAUACCAACGACUUACAUUCAGUGACUGCCACUCAAUCCAUUGCGGAAGAAACAACCACUAAUUUUGUAUUUCCUAAACUAACAUACUUGGAACUUUAUAUGCUGCCCAGAUUGAGGAGUUUCUGCUCUACGAUACAUACUACGGAGUGGCCAUCAUUAAAGAAAAUGUGGAUAUAUGGAUGUGACAAAGUGGAGAUAUUUGCUUCAGAAAAUAUUCGGAGCUUUGGAGAAUCAACAAAUCAUCAACCCCUGUUUUGGGUAAAUGAGGUAAUUGAACACAAAACUAUGUUCAACUUUUAAACAUUUAGUAUGAUCUUGAUUUUCAAUGUAAAUUUAUAUGGUUUGUUGGGUCAAAACUCAAUCAAAUCCAGAUAGAUUUGCCUUUUUUUUUUCAUAUAAUUCUCACAAGCAUGUCUCAGUAUUGCUCCAAUAUUGUAGCUUGCACAUAAGAUUUAUGUUAAAAUAACUAUAUUCACUCAAUUAAGGUGUUCUCAUCUUGCUUAACUCAUAUAGAUGCAUCAUAUGGCACUUUUAGAUUAGGUUUCAAGGAGUGUUUCGAAAAAGAUAAAUUAGAUUAAACAAAUUCAUGUACAUAAAAAUUUGGUAUUAGGCAAUUUAUCAGAAAGAAUUUUUCUAUACAAUGAUAUUCAGAAAACUCAAGCAAUAUAACAUUUGAACUGUGUCUUCAUCAUUCUUGUGUUGCAUUCCCACCAUAAUAUACACAGUGUGUCUCACUGUUAGCUUCAAGAGCUUAGUUCGUAGAAUAAAUGAAACAUUGACAUCUUUAACUUUAGUCUAACACAUUUGUUAAUUUCCAGGUUACAUUUCCCAAUCUGGAAGAAUUAAAAUUGGAGUGGAAUGACAUUAUGAAAGAGAUAUGGCAUGGACAACUUAGAGCAAACUUUUUCUACAAACUAAAAGUUCUUGAGCUCAUUCACUUUCCUGAUCAAUCAGCUGUUUUCCCACAUUGUUUUAUUCAGUCAUUACCAAAUUUAGAAAAGCUUGCUGUUAGUGAAGCUUCCUUUAGUCAUAUAUUCCAUUUUGAAGGAUUUGAUGGUCAGAAAAAUCAUGCAUCGGCAAUCACUUCGUUGAAUGAAUUGGUGCUGUCUGAACUUCCUGAGCUAACACAUCUUUGGAAGGAAGAAUACCACCCCAUACCAGCUUUCUGUGAACUGAGAACUCUUCAAGUGCGGGAUUGUGGCAAAUUAAAGAUUUUAGCGCCAUCAUCAGUGUCUUUUGAAAAUUUAACAACUUUGGAAGUUUCAAGAUGUCAUGGAUAUGUGAAUUUGAUAACAUGCUCAACAGCUAAGAGCCUAGUGCAACUCACAAGAAUGACCAUAACUGAUUGUGAGAUGAUAGAGAAAAUCAUAGCAUGUGAGUCUGAGGAAGUGAAAGGAGACAUUGUUUUUACUGAACUGAAGUAUUUGCAACUAAGUUGUCUACCAAAUAUGGCUAGCUUCUGCUUAGGGGAUCACAACUUGGAAUUCCCUAUCUUGGAGAAAAUGAUUGUGAGAGAAUGCCCAAAGAUGAUGAUUUUCUGCCAAGGAGAUUUAAGCACACCACAACUCCAAAAAGUGAUAUUGACAGAAGAUGGAGAUGAAGAAAAUGGGCAGUGGGAAGGCGAUCUUAAAACUACUAUAAAACGGAUGUUUGAAGAAGAGGUAAGUAUCAAUUUAAAAGAUUUUCUUAUGUUGCUUUGGUUUCUUAUUUUGAUUUUUCAGUAGCAUCCGUUAACUUUUCCUUGUCACCCCAUACUUUUUAAAAGGUUGCUCAAAUGAGGAAACCAUACUAAUAUAUAAAGUAGAGCUGUUGCAGAAUUAUUGGAGCAUGCACUAUCGAGAAGCCAGUGAUUAUUGUCUGCUGAGUUAGAGUUUUCAAUCGUCAUGAACAACACUUCCUCUGCAACUUCAGCUUUCUCAACUUGCUUUGCAACCUGUGGUUUUUUGUCUGCAGCCUCAGCUUUGUUCUUACAGACUUUUUCUACAUGCCCUAACUGCUUACAAGCAUUGCAUUUGACUCCAAGUCUGAACCAGCGUUAAGCUUCAGAAUGGUUCUUUUUCUUGCAAUAGGAGCAGACUGGAAACUUGCCCCUUUUGUUUUGGGAUCUUCCAGCAGCUGUACCAGCUUUGUCUUUCUUUUUAUUUUCAUUUGAAUUCUUUUUAAAUGAAGGAUCAGCAGGGGCCUUACCUUUUGCACGAGCUGCCAAUGCAUGAUCAACUCUUUCAUCUCUUCUUGCUGCCUUCCUCUGUUCAUCAGCUUCCAAAGCACUAACCAAGUCUGAUAUUGAGAGCUCUGUAAUAUCCUUAACUUGCUCUAGAGAGGUGAUUGUAUGAUCAAACCUUUUUGGUAGACUUAACAUAAUCUUCUCUACCACUUUCAAAUCAAUGAGGGAGUCUCCCAUGAGUCUGAUCUGAUUUACUAGUUUCAUCAAAUCCUCAACAAACUCACCUACGGUCUGAUUUUCUUUCAUUCUCAGAAGCUCAUAUUUCCUUUUGCGGUUUUGCAAACGCACCUGUUUGCUCCUUGCAGACCCCAAAAACUCCUUCUCAAGUUUACUCCAAGCCUCGUUUGCAGUCGCACAUCCCAUAAUCCUGUUGAAAAUCGAUUCAGACACUGCUGAAUGUAUGAAUGACAAAGCUCUAUAUCACUUUGCAAUAUCUUCUUCAUAUUGCUUCACCUGAGCCUGCGUAGCAUUCUCCUUCAGCACUGGAAAUUCAGUUUCAAACUCAACAGCAUUCCAGAGGUUAACACUUAGAAAUGCCUUCAUUUUUAUGACUCAAACUGCAUAAUUGGAACCAUCAAAAAAAGGAGGUGACUGCUGUGUAAUGGUUGAAGUUGAAGUUGACAUGUUUGAAAAAAAAGUUUGGUUAUUGUAGAUGAGACUUUGAAGGUAAUUUGUAAGUUGUUUAAAUGACUCAAAGGAUCAAUUCACAGCUCUGAUACCAUGUUCUUGUUAAUACAGAAAAGAUGCAGCAGGCAUGCAAGGACAAAGUAAAAGCAAUAGACAAAACAGAGAGCAGAACUUGGCUAAUAUCGAUCCAUCCAUUUACUGAGGAGAAAUCCAUAAAUAUAUACAAGAGCUAUUUAACUAACACUUGUACAAAAAAAUAUCCAAGUGUUUGACACAGCAUUAGAGCAAACAUGCAGUGCUUACACAUCCUAGGACAGAUGUGCAGCAGCAUGCUCUGUGAAUUACCAAACUAGCACAACAAAACAAAGUGGACACUUGUCCUGUGCAUAGUUAGACAAAAUGACAUUCAAGCUAGUUUUUAUCUCAACAAUUAUCAGUGUCUUCUGAAAAUUUAACAACUUUGAAAGUUUCAAGAUGUCAUGGAUAUGUGAAUUUGAUAGCAUGCUCAACAGCUAAGAGCUUAGUGCAACUCACAAGAAUGACCAUAACUGAUUGUGAGAUGAUAGAUAAAAUCAUAGCAUGUGAGUCUGAGGAAGUGAAAGGAGACAUUGUUUUUACUGAACUGAAGUAUUUGCAACUAAGUUGUCUACCAAAAUGGCUAGCUUCUGCGUAGGGGAUCACAACUUGGAAUUCCCUAUCUUGGAGAAAAUGAUUGUGAGAGAAUGCCCAAAGAUGAUGAUUUUCUGCCAAGGAGAUUUAAGCACACCACAACUUCAAAAAGUGAUAUUGACAGAAGAUGGAGAUGAAGAAAAUGGGCAGUGGGAAGGCGAUCUUAAGACUUAUAAAACGGAUGUUUGAAGAAGAGGUAAGUAUCAAUUUAAAAGAUUUUCUUAUGUUGCUUUGGUUUCUUAUUUUGAUUUUUCAGUAGCAUCCGUUAGCUUUUCCUUGUCACCUCAUACUUGUUAAAAGGUUGCUCAAAUGAGGAAACCAUACUAAUAUAUAAAGUAGAGCUGUUGCAUAAUUAAUUUAGCAUAGAGCUUCUAACUAUUUUCCUUUUUAUAAUGGAAAUUUACUAUAAAACUGUAGUUUUUGUGCUUUUCAUUAAUUUAAGGAACUCUUGAUUAAUUUUUAUGAUUGCAGAAUGUCAAAAAUUCUGAAAACCACUAAGUUUACCUUUUAGUUGCCCAAGUAGAAAGAGGGAAAUAUUGGUUUUGUACUUGUGAGAGGCUACAUGUUCCUUGGAUUGAAGUGAGAUGGUAAGUAGAUCUUCUACUUCCAUAAUCUUCAUUUUUCUACUCUAUUUCCAUCACCACACCUGACUGCUUUGUUUUUUUUCUCCUUCAAUUUUGGAUUGCCAAUUAAUUAAUUUUUUUAUUAAUUAAUUUGUAGAAGAAAUAACAGGGAACUGGUUUGUUUAAAAGUGAUUGAUUUAUAUACCCUUAUCAAUUUAUUAAUUUAUGAAAUUAGAAAAUUAUUACUUAUUUUUUAUUAUCAAUUAAGUUAUUUAGUAGGAUUUGUAACAUUGAAAAUGUGAAAUUGCAAUUAGUAAUAGGAAAUAUUGAUGGCUGAUACAUAGUUGAAAUGUAUGAAUGUGUAACAUGAAGCUGGUUAUUUUCUAAUUGGAUAUUUGCUGGGGGUUCUUCCAAAAGGUUAUAGAAUACCAUGCAUAGAGGAGUUGCAAGAUGAUAGAUUUGUUGCUGGAAGUGUAGACGAGUCUCUUCACGUGAGUAAGAAUAUUGUUGUCAUUACUACGCUUCAUUAGUUUGAAUUGCCUUACUGACCGAGAAAAGGAAAUAGUUUGAUGCUAAUUUUAUGUUAUGAUGUUAAUGCUAACUUGCUAAGACAUCUUAUAAGUUAUGUAUAUCUGCACCUUGCAGGCCAGUGCUCGUAGCAUUUCAAACAAGGUGAAAAGCUCUCUUUUUCUCCAGUUAGCUUCCACUAUUCUGCAACUCUUGGGUUCUACCACUGUAAUUGUUUGAGGGCCCUUCUUUGGUCUUGAUGGCUAGAUGCAUGCUGCACCCGCAUCAUUAAGUUCCUAGGUUCGAGGGCUAACAGAAGAAUUGACUGAAAGCUGGUCCGAAAAGCACAAUAGAAAUCAGAUAAUAGAUAUGACUUGUAGGAUAGCAAGACAUGAAGCAACUUCAGCUGGUACUAACAAAAACUAUUAACUAUAAUUUGAUAGUCUAACAGGAAUAAUUUGUUCAUCUGUUCUUUUGUAAUGCUUUUUCUUUUAGUAUCAUAGGUAGGUGAUGACUGAGGAAAAGAAAAAUUAUUAAAGAAUGAAAUGGUCUCCAAGUCUUUAUGGUAUUAAGUGCAUGGAAUUUGGUUUAUCUGCAGUACUUCCACUUCCAAAAUAUCACUGAAGGUGAGGGAAGAAAUGUGGGAAGAGAUGAAUCACAAGCAUGCUAAUAUUGGCAUUUCAUAGAACUCAAGCUUUGUUCCAAAGUCAGGGCCUCAUAGGCACAGUCAAACAGAGUGCAUUCUACAAACCUGAGACACGCACGCAUACCAAGUGCAAUGGUCUUAUUAAUCAUAUGAAGAGCAUCACUCGCAUCAUAUUUCUGCCUGAUACUAUGCUUUGCAGACUCUGAACAACUUUUUAUGCGUGGUCUUAGGAAGCCUAGUCGCUGAGCAUCUACAAUUUGGAUGCAUAGAGGGACUCCAUGAUGAUGUUGACAAGGUACAUUCUUCUGCUCAAAUGAUGUUGCCAUGAGGUAUUUUCAGAUUACUAACUGCUAGUGCUUCCCAUUAAUGGAAGCAGCUGGAUAAAGUACUUAGCUGGUUGGGUUACACUGCGAUCAAGUUAGAUGGGCUGCAUCGAAUACUAUUACAAUAGAAGAUGCUGAUGUUGGGAGAGAAAUCGAGCUGGUUCGCAAGCUCUAUCAGAGCAUCCCUCAAUCUGCUGUCCUUUGUGAGAGUGGCCAGAACAGUUGUAGAGUGGUUUCCACAAGCAAAAAUUUCUUCAAUUUAUUGCCCAUGAUGUAACUAGCAUUAUAAUUAAGCGUUGUCUUCUACUUCAUGUUCAAAUUGCAUGUAAGUUGGCUAUGAUUAGAACUUUGUAGUUCAACUUGAACUCUUAGAUAGUUCUGUUUUUACAUUUAGCAGGAUCCAAUGAGCAAUACAUGAAGAUUGUACAGUCUACAACAUCAUCUUGGUCCGUUCUUGCUCAUCCAGGAAAGGAAAUUCAGACAAAAACCAUUGUUUCUGAUGAUUUUUUGUACCACAGAAACUUGCAAACAGACCAAGGCAGAUUAAACUCCCAAAACAAUGAGAGAAAGAACAGGAAAAAAGAAUCAUGCAAAUUCAAUAUAAUUAACUUGAUACAUUACUGCUUUGCUCAAAAAGAUACCAUAAAAGAGUUCAGAACCCCAAAAUCAAAGAACCCUAAAACUAAACCAUCCUAUAUUAUACAGCUGGUCAAAAAAAAAAAAAACCCAAAAACAAAACAAAGAAGAAAAAGCGGACUAAAACUCCUGAGAAGCAGAUCCAAUAUCACCCUUGCCCUUUCCCAUUUUCUUUGGAAGAAGGGUUUGGUGAAUGUUGGGCAAAACACCUCCAUUUGCAAUGGUAACCGAACCCAAAAGCUUGCUUCGCUUCUCAUCAUUCCUCACUGCUAGUUAGAUGUGUCUUGGAACAAUUCGAUUCUUCUUGUUGUCUCUCGCUGCGUUGCCAGGAAGCUCUACUAACUCACAAGCUAAAAGCUUGUUGCAAGUCACAAGAAUGACCAUAACUGAUUGUGAGAUGAUAAAGGAAACCAUAGCCUGUGAGUGUGAUGAAGUGAAAAGAGGCAUUGUUUUUACCCAACUGAAGUAUUUGCAACUAAGCGGUCUACCAACUCUGGCUAGCUUUUGCUUAGGAGAUCAUAACUUUGAAUUCCCUGCCCUAGGGAAAAUGAUUGUGAGAGAAUGCCCAAAAAUGAAGAUUUUUUGUCAAGGAUAUUUAAGCACACCACAACUGCAAAAAGUCAUAUGGACAAAAGAUGAACAUGAAGAAAAUGGGUGGUGGGAAGGUGACCUUAAAACUACUAUAACACGGAUGUUUGAAGAAAAGGUAAGCAUCGAUUUAAAAGAUUUUCUUAUGUUGCUUUGUUUUCUUAUUUUGAUAUUUCAAUUAGCUUUUCCUUGUUACCCCAUACUUAUUAAAAGGUUGCUCGAAUGAGAAAACCAUACUAAUACAUAAAGUAGAGCUGUUGCAGAAUUAGUUCAUUAAUUUAGCAUAGAGCUUCUAAUUAUUAAUAAAGAAAUUUACUAUAAAAUUAUCGUUUCGGUCUCUUCUAUAGCGUAUCCAAUUUCAGAAAUUCUUAAUUUUUAUAAUUUCAAAAUAUCGAAAAUUCUAAAGAUCAUUGAGUUUAUUCUUUAAUCUGCUCAAAUUGGAAGAAGGAAAUAUUGUUUUUGUACUUGCGAGACACUACAUGUUCCUUGGGUUGAAGUGAGAUGGUAAGUUGAUCUUCUACUUCCAUAGUCUUCAUUUUUCUACUUUAUUUCCUUCGCCGUGGCUUAGUUGCUUUGUUUUUUUUUUUCUUGAUUUUCGAAUUGCCAAUUAAAAGCAAGAUAAGAAUUUGUCUAUUAAUCGUUUGCACCGAUGACAGACAAAAGAAUGAACUGCAUAGAUCGAGUGCACUUUGACUCUCCGGUAGACGUAAUCCGACCUCCACCCAAUUUCGAUCUCUCGAAACAGCGUCACGAAGCUCUACAAAGGGUUGACAAAGAGCUCUCGAAGCGCAAUUUCAGAACUAAAAGAAAGUUGAAGUUCAAUUAAUCUAAUGUGAGAUGUUAGAAGUUGUUUUUAUUUUUAUUUUUUGCAUAAAUAAAGAAAGGAAAAAAAGUAGAGGAAUGGAACAAAUAAUAUGGACAAAAUAGAAUAUAACAUAGGAAAGAAAAGAAAAAGAAGAAAAAAGAGAAAAUUAAAAGCUAAAAAAAUCAACAGAUAAUUAAUAGUAUUAUCAUAUAAUUCUACUCAUAUAAAUUUGUAUAAUUAACUUAACAAAGAUAUAAACCAUUUAAUGUAAAGAAUCCUUGACUCUAUUCCGAAUAAUAAAAGAAGUAAUUGGGAUGUUAUAUUUAAUAAACUCAAAAGUUUAAGAUUAUACAGAUAAAUUUAACCAACCAAUUAUAAUUCAAAGAUGGAGGUUUGAUUACCUUCCCGAAUAUAUAAAAAUUGAAGACUUGAAGCAGUGUGCUAUAGCAGGAUUCUAAAGGCAAGACAAAGAAAAAGUCACAUAUUCUUAAUGAACAAAAUCAGUCACUUUACUUGUGCAAAUAAUCAAGCUCUGAUUCUACAUUGUAACAUUUAAAUUAUUGUUAUUUAUUUCAGUUUCCAGUCAUUCGAUGCUUUCUUUUGCCUUGUCUUCUUUGCCACCCAAUGCAUCUUUUUCUUUUUCUCUAUACCAAAACAUCAUCAUUCUGUUUGUUUUCUUUUUGGAGAGAAGGAAAAUCAAAAGAUUAUUCAUUCCAAGAUUCCUAUAAGCAAAUGUGACAGAAGGUUAAAUUCUUCAAUUCAGUAAAGGCAUGCACAAAGACACUUGUCACGAACAAUCCAUCCAUGGAAAAAUGGUAAGCAGACAAAUAUUAGGCCUGGACCCUCCUAGUUAUGGACAGGAUGACAAAUAACAACAUUUACUUAAAAUGUUAAAAAUAUUAAACCAAGAGUUGUUGAGACAUCUAUAUUCUUUUCGUAAUUGCAGUUGCACCGAAUUUUAUGACGUUGGUCUUGGUUAGAGGCUUGAAUCUUUCUUUUUGGAUAUUUAUAUUAUUUAUUUGUUUAAUAAAAAUCUCAUGACUUGUGCCUAUUAUAUAUAAUUAUUCUAAAAAAAAAUAAAGAUAUAACAAAGACUUAAGGUGAGUCUUCCAUUAUGCUUGAAUGACCAUGAGAAGCUUCCUAGGUUUAUAAAACCCGAACACACAACGUUUCUGCUCAACUCAUUCCUAUGAUCUUACUUUAGCGUCCUUUGCUCUUCCAUUUCUCAAAACCCUUUUAUUUCCUUGCUUUGAUCGUCGAUUAUCGUUUCCCUUUCCUUUGGUUUUGGCUUGCUCCGUUGUUUCUUUCUCAUCUCUUUUUCCUCCACCUCAAAGUGUCGGCUUCUCACAUUCCUCUGCUUUCCACCCAAUAAACCAGAAACUUUUACUUUGAUUCUUAGUUGCCUCUUUGUUCAUCGCUACAGUUAAUGCAGAAGCCACCGUUUCCAAUUUCUCACCGUUCUGAUUAUUUUCCUUGCUAACAUAGUUUUUCAUAUAUUAGUUUUUGCUAUUUUCAUUUUUGGGUCUGCUCGAUCCCCUGUUUUCUCUGUUCUUUUGUCAUUUGCUUUAAUUGUCUGUUGAAUUUUUUAAAAAAAAUGGAAGCUGUUGGUACUGGAGCUGCUGCCAACGUUUCUUCAGAGAUCGCGAAAGGCACCUUCCAAGAAAUUAAACGUCAUAUCAGACAUGUAUUUAUCUACAAGAAAAAUGUCGACAAGUUCGAGGAAAAACUUCAGAUGUUGAUAGCAAAAAGAACAAGUGUGCAGCAAGAGGUUGAUGCUGCGGACAGGAACGGGGAGAAGAUAAAAGCGGACGUCCAACAUUGGAGCAACACAGUGGACAAGGUAAUCAAUGAAGAGGAGAAGAAGGUGAAGGAUCUUCAAGAGAAAGCAAAGAACAAGUGCUUCAUUGGCUUGUGUCCCAAUAUUAAGUCUCGCUACCAGCUUAGCAGGAAAGCAGAAGAAGGUGUUGCGGUUGUUGACGACCUUAUUCGACAGUGUCAAUUUAACGAAGUGGGAUACCGUGGUGUUCCAGAAGGUUUUCAACGAUAUCGUGGAAGCAGUGAAAGAUGCUGCUAUCACUAGUCAACAAAGUUGCUAGACAAGUCCAAGAGGUCAAGUUAUUUGAUUCGGUGGUUAACGUAAUUGUGACUCAAGACUCCUGACAUUCAGAAAAUUCAAGAUCAAGUUGCACAAUUAUUAAGUCUCAGACUGGAAGAUAAGAGUACGGUUGUAAGAGCACAUAGAUUGUGCGAAAGGUUGAAAAAAGGGAAGAAGGUUCUUGUUGUUUUAGAUAAUACUUGGAAGGAAUUGGAUCUCGAGAAAGUUAGAAUUCCAUUUGGGAACCAACACAAGGGAUGCAAGAUAUUGUUGACGUCAAGAGAUCAAAAUGUACUCACCAAUGAGAUGGAUGCAGAGAAAACUUUUGCAAUUGGUGAUAAAGAAGAUUGGCUCUUAUUUAGGAAGACGGCCGGGGAAAUUGUUGAAAGCACUGAGUUGCGAUCUACAGCAAUUGAGGUAGCCAAAAGAUGUGCAAAAUUACCGUUGGCCAUUGCAACAGUUGCAAGGGCAUUGAGAAAUAAAAGCUUAUAUGCUUGGAAUGAUGCUUUACGGUAACUACAGAGGCCUUCCUCAAAAACUUCGCUGGGAUAUCCGCAGCCGUAUAUUCAGCUAUAGAGUUGAGUUACAAUCACUUAGAAAGUGAAGAUCUUAAACAGGUUUUCCUGCUUUGCAGUCUACUGCAUUGUGAUAGCAUCGAUUACUUGUUGAGAUAUGCCAUUGGUUUGGGUUUAACUAAUGGUGUCAACACCGUGGAGGAAGCGCGAAAUAGGUUGUUAACAAUGGUGAGUAACUCUUGUUUUUUACUUGAUAGUAACAUCAAUGACCAGUACUUUGAUAUGCAUGAUCUUGUUUUUGAUGUCGCCAUGUCAAUCGCUUUUACAUACAAUCAAGUCUUUGCAUUAAAUGAGGAGGAUGUUCUAAAAGAUUGGCCUGAUGGGGAGACAAUGAAAAAGUGGAACAAGAUUUGUUUGAAAUAUCAUAGGGUUGGAGAGGUUCCUGACAAGUUGAAUUGUCCACAGCUUGUUCUUUUCCUUAUUUGUAGAAAGGAUCUGUCCAUGAAAAUGCCACCUAACUUCUUUAGGGAAACAACAAAUCUUAAAGUCUUAGAUUUGACUCAGAUGCAUUUCUCUUCUUUACCUUCAUCAAUUUGUCUUCUAACAAGUCUUCGUACAUUGUGCCUAGAUCAAUGUGAAUUGGGAGAUAUAGUCAUUAUUGGAGAGCUCAAGAAUUUAGAAAUUCUUAGCCUUUGAAAUCUAAUAUCAAAACUCUAGCUAAGGGAAUUGGGCAACUAGUUAAGUUGAAGUUAUUGGAUUUAAAUGAUUGUACUAAACUCAAAAUAAUUCCACCAGGUGUCUUAUCAAGUUUGUCCAAAUUAGAAGAAUUAUAUAUGGGUGACACGUUUAUUCAAUGGGAAGCAGGGGAACAGGCCAACCAACAAAGCAAUGCUAGUCAUUGUCUCGUUUGACCACUUUAGAAGUUCAAAUUCCUAAUGCUGAGGCCAUGCUAGAAGGGUUGCUCUUUAAAGAGAUGCAAAAGUUGAAAAGAUACAAAGUUUUCGUAGGAAAGGAAUGGGAAUGGUUUGGUGAGUAUGAGUAUCCAAGGACUCAGAAACUCAAGUUAAGUACAAGCAUUGAUCAUUUGGAUCAUGGAAUUAAGUUGUUAUUGAAGAACACCGAAGCUCUGUAUUUCGAUGAACUUAAAGGUGUCAAGUUUGCAAUGCAAGAGUUAAAAGAUGAAGAAAGCUUGCUGCUGUUCAAGAAUCUAUAUAUCCAAAAUAUUCAAUGAUCAAAUAUAUCAUUAUUGAUAAUGGUGUCUUUGACACUUCAAAAUCUAUCACAGCUCAUUGGCUUUUGUUCUGAAGAAAAAAGCAGCUCUACCUCCACAGCUCAACAUGAUCAGUUGCCUCUUUUCAAUGAUAAGGUAUUUAUUAACUUCCAUCUUUUACUCAUUCUAAGGCAUAGGUUAAUCUUAUUUUUAAAUUCUUUAAGAUUCUUUCUUAUGAUCGACCAAUGUUCUCGGAUGUUAAAUUUGUAUUAUUUUAGAAUCUCCUUCCUUCACUUCUUUGCUAGAUGCCCCUGAAUAUCUAUUAUGAGUAAAAACAUACAUUGAACAUCCAUUAUAAAUAUAGAAGAAGAAAGCAAAGAUAAGAUUUUGUUUCCUCAAUUAAGCUUUCUAAAGUUAUAGGAUCUUUAGCAUCUUGUUGGAUUUUUCUUAAAAGAUCAGAAUAUUGAAUUUCCAUUCUUGAAGGCAUGAUGAUAGAGAACUGCCCAGAAAUAAAAGGGCUCAUAUACAAAUCUUUGACGGAAGGGAGCCAACGUUUCUCUAGUCAAGCUUUCUUCAACGAAAAAGUAGAUUAAUUAGCAUUCUUUAUUGAACAUGUUUUUCCCAUUGCCAUGCUUUUGGCCUUGAUUAUAGGAACAAAUGCUUCUAAAAUUUUCAUUAAUUGGCAUGAAUUAAUUACAUACAGGUUGCAUUUCUUAGUUUGGAGGGACUUUCUAUUUUCAAAUUGAGAAGCAUCAAGAUGAUAUGGCAGAACCAACCCGCUACGAAUUCCUUUGGCAAACAACCAGGAAUGAAAGUUCAAGAAUGUGAUGAGUUAUUGACCAUUUUUCCAUCUAAUAUGUUGAGAGCAUUUCAAGGACUGCAAAAAUCUAUUAGUGAACAAUUGUGUUUUGCUAGAAGAAGUAUUUGAAGUCAGAAGGUCAAAUAUGGAAGAAACAUGUGCUGCCUCCACUCAACUAGGAGAGUUGUAUAUUGUGGAUCUACCAAGCCUCAAGUAUAUUUGAAAAAAUGAUCCCAAAGGAAUUUUUACAUUUGAAAAUCUGCGGGUAAUAAGUAUUUGGCGUUGUUUCAAUCUGAAGAAUGUAUUUCCAGCCUCAGUAGCCAAAGUUCUUCCAUAACUUAGAGAUCUUCGGAUAGCUGGUUGCAGAGUGAAGGAAAUUGUUUCUAAAGAGGAAGGAUUGGAAACAGUUGUCACUUUUGUGUUUGAUCAAGUAUCCUACCUUUGCCUUUUGAACCUACCAGAACUCGUAUGUCUCUACUUGGGGGUGCAUGCCACAGAGUGGCCAAUGUUAAAAAGGUUAAAUGUAUUGGACUGUGGGAACAUGAAGAUACUCGGUAUAGAACGUCUUAGCAUCCCUGAUAAGACUAAGGUCGAUGGACAACUUGAGUCCACAUUAAUCCUUCCACCGCUUUCGUUGGCUAAAAGGUAUGCGUGCACCUCCACCUCAACUCUUCUCUCAAUUAAUUAAGAUGCUAACGUGUACAUGAAAAGCUAUUUGAUUGAUCCUUGUAAUGUACAAAAAAUCAUUUCCAUCAAAUGUGAUCUUCAAGAAAAUCAUUAAAUACUACCAAAUCAAUUUUUUAUUUUUAUAUUUAUUUUUAUAGGAAAUUGCAUAUGUCAAUGACUAACUAGUUGAAUUUAUAUAAAUUAAGUGGUAUGUAAUAUUUUGAAAAAUAAAUCACUUGCAUGUUUUGAUUUCACUCACAAUUUCAGAUGAGCAUUUAGUCACUUAACUUUUCGAAAACUUUUAUUUUUAGUCAUUCAAUAUUAAAAAAUAAUGAUUUGGUCACCAACAUUUGUGAAAGUUAUUUUUUUUAACACUUAAUAAUUAGAAAAAAAAAGUCAAUCAUUAGCUUUUUUAGAGAAAAAAAAGGUCAACCAUUGGCUUCUAACAACUGAGUGAUAAACAUGAACUUUCACAAAGUUUGAUAGCCAAAUUGUGAUUAUUUAAAAUUAAAUGACCAAAAUAAAAACUUAUGAAAAAUUAAUUGAGUAAAUGUGUAAUUAAAAUUGGAGUUUGUUUGAGUCCAACCCCUACCUUUAAUCGUGAAAACAAGUACCAAGACUUGCCUACUCGCAUAUUGUGUUUGUGUGUGCACUUAUUUUCUUUUUGGCUCCAAAACUAUUUUUUCAGGACAUCCCUAAAUUAGAAAAAUUGUCGCUAAAUAUUGAUGACAUUGCAAUGAUAAGUGAGUCAAUUUUCAAGCAGCCUUUUUCGUUAAAUAAAAGUUUUUAAGGUUUACAGCAACCCUGGUAAAUCUGUUGUUUCCCCAAGUGCUUUCCUUGAAAGAUUUGACAAUCUAGAAAGCUUGUGGUGAUUUCUUAUGAAUUCAAAGAGCUGUUCUGCAAUGAAAGAGAUAAUGGUAUGGAGACAUAUGCGGGGACACUGCCGAUGAUCAGAAGCUUAAAAUUGAUUCAUCUUCAUAAUCCCAAACAAUUAUGGAGGCAGGACGUACAAGUAGACCACAUUCCCCCGAAUCUGGAAACUCUUAAAGUCUGGGAUUGUGCCAAACUGAUUAGUUUAGGAUCAUCCACAGCAUCGUUCCAAAAUCUCUUGAUGUUGGAUGUGUGGAGCUGCAAAGCAAUGAUAUGCUUAGAUACAUCUUUAGCAGUCCAAAGUCUAGCCCAGCUCUAAAAAUUGAGGUUAAGACAGUGCAUUCCAAUGAAGGAAAUAGUUGGAAAUGAGGGUGAUGAAGCAACAUACGACAUUGUUUUCAGCAACUUGAAAAGUUUGGAACUUUGUGGUUGACCACAAAUUAGAAGUUUUUGUUCAGGCAACCACACAUUUGGGUUCCCGUCUUUAGAAAAAGUAAUUGUGAGCAAAUGUCCUGAAAUGAAGAUUUUCUGUAAGGGAGUUUUAAAUGCGCCAAUGCUGCAAAGAGUACAAGAAACAGAUGAAGAUGGUAAGGGACAUUGGGGUGGUGACCUUAACAGUACUAUCCAACAACUCUACGUCGAAAAGGUACCUAUGUAAGAAAUUAUUUAUCUAACGAAUUAAUUGUCUUUGUAAGGCUCUUUUUUGUUGCUGGAUGCUUUUGUUUGCUUAAUUUAACUUUAGGUUUUCUAUUUUUAUUUCCUUUUUGUUUGUGCGUACUUUUGAACUUAAUCUUCCUUUCUUUGAUGGAUUUUGUAGGUUGGAUACUAAGGAGUUGUGUAUGAAGUACUUUCCAAAUUUUCUAAGUCAAUAGAAAUAUGGAAGGACAAUCUUGAAGGAGUUUUAGAUUUUGUAAAUCUUAAAUAUUUGAAAAUUUACAAAUGUAAGAGCUUCAAGUCCAUUUUUACUGUUUCCAUGGUUUUGGAGCUUCAGCAAUUGAACGAGAUAAAAGUAAAAAAUUGCCAUAUGAUGGAGCAUAUUAUCACAAAUGAACAAGCAGAGGAAGCCGCAAUGAAUUUAAUGGUGUUACCCAGGCUUAAGGUUAUAAUUCUUGAGUCAUGUUCCAAUUUGAGGAGCUUUUGUUUGAGAAGUAUUACAAUGGAUGUCAGUCCAAUUGUUAAUAUUAUUAAAAAAAAUUAUUAUUUAUAUUGAUAUGAUUUUUUUACUGAUAUAGCAUUAAAUAUGAUGACUUGUUAAUAAUGAUGUGACAUUUUUUUUAUAUUUCACAUCAUUCUUUUCAAUGUUUUAAAUUAUGAAACACAGAAAUUUAAUUUUUUUUAUUCAAACAAUACUAUUUUCCUAAAUCCUAGAAACCUAUUAGUAUUUUUUAUUUGUUUCUUAUGCAAUUGUGUUUAAUAUCAUUAACUCACAUUGGAUAAUUCAAUAUCCACACUUAUAAAAUCCAUUUUAGUACUUGAUCAUGUCAUAUUGACAUUACUAUUACAUUAUUUUUAAAAUACUACAUCAGUAGUGUUAUGUCAUUAUAUUCAAUGUCACGUCUAAUAGCAAAGCUAAUAUUUUAUGUUUGGAGAGACGAAAAUAAAAAGUUCGAUGUUUAUAGAGAUAAAAUUAUAAAUUUUUUUUUAAAAUAGGGAUAAAAUUAUAAAUUUUAAAAAGUAAUAAGUAAAAAUUUUAAAAUUUUAACUGUGAGGCCCUACUAGCCCCUUCCUCUACUUCUAAUCAAAUCAAUAAAAAAAUACCAUGUCAACAUAAGCAAACGUCAUAUUAAUAUAAAUAAUAAAAAAUUUUAUCACAUUGAAUUGAUAUUGUAUUUUUAAAAAGUACAUAGAUUCAAUUUUUGAAAGUAUUAUAUAAAAAUUAAAUUAACCAUUAUAAUAUAAUAUAAAGACUAAUGUCAUAAUUUAAUAAAAAAUUUAUAUUCAGCCACCCCCAUUACACUUGCUCGAGUUUUUAAAUCUCGUGAUGCGACCGCUUUGUCGGGUAACCAGAAAAUAUCCUAUACAUCCCCACUUUCCAUUUAAUGGAUAAAGAAUAUACACUUGCCUCACAUGGGAAAUUGUGUUCCCUAAGGAUUUCUUUUUAUUGUGAAUUACACGACUUAUUAAAUUAAACAACAAUAAUAAAAAUUAUCUAAUUCUUGAAAUUAACAUAAAAGUCUCCAUCUAAGCUUGAUUCAACCUGAAAGAAAUAGUAAGCUCGGACUUAGUUAAAUUUAUAAAACUCAUAUAUAUUCACUAUUGACAUUAUAUUUUCCCUUUUGAGUUCUAAUUAACAUAUUUAAACUUUUCUGAUCUCUUUUAACUUUUUUUUUUAAAUGAGUUUUAUUUUUUCGUUACUUGUAAUAUUAUGACAAGUCUUUUAACUCAAUUGACAGAAUACUUUUGUGAGAUAGAGUACUUGGUGCCGGAAUUUAAUUGUACAUUUACAAAAGUUACACUGUGCAUCAAGCAGAGACAGCAAGCAGAAUCAGUAAAGAGUCCCAACAACGUCAACCAAAAAACAAAAGGAUCCUACAAGGAAAAGCAGCGAUAAAGCCUAUAAGAAUCAGAUCCCUCGACAAUACCCUGGAUGGGGCAAAACCUGAGAGGAGCUCCUAAAAAGUCUCAGGAGCACGGGGCUGAGACAAAGUCUCCCAUCCAAUGAGAAAUGAGCAGAAGACUGAGCAGACACGUGAAAUGCUUUCCAAUUUCCAUGUGCACUCCUUUGUAAUUAUUGGUGAGAGUGGGACAGACACCUCCACGUUUCCCCAACUUGAAUUCCAAUUGCAUCUCCUACCUAACACUUUCUUGUCUCUCUUCAUUUCUUUUCCUUUAUUCUAGUUUUUUUUUUUUUUGGGUAUUAGUUGUGAUGGCUUUGUAGGAUCUAUAUAUUUGUAUGCCACUAUAUAUUUGUCUUAUAUAAAAAAAGAAACUAUAUAUAUUUGUCUUGUCUGCCACUAUUCUUUUCUUUCUUCCGUUAAUCCAUUUUUUAAUUUAUAUUGGUAUGGCAUAGUGUUUUAAUAAUGAAAACUUAUGACAAGUCUUUCUUUAUAAUUGCCGAUUGUCAUGACUCGUGGGCUCAUGGGUAUUUACUGAAAUUUUAAGUCUUUCUUUAUAAUUGAUGAUCGGAAAAAUUUGAAACUUAAUGUGAAAUUAUGGUUAAGAAAAUGUGAGUGAAGUACAGCUCAAUUCAUCCAUUGAUUAUUGUUUGACAAGUUGCAUUAUUGUAUUAACCAUUAAUUUUGUUAGAGUGGUUAAUGACAUCUACUUUAACAAUAAGGGAGAAACCUUAAGUAUCCAUAUGAAUUUAGUCUAAUGUUACAUUGAAACUUUGGAUAUCAAUAUGAAUUUAAUCUAAUUUUAUAUUGAAACUUUAGUAAAGCUAUCUCAUUUGUAUACGUUUAAAAGAAAUAAAAAGGUGCAAGUGGCAUGAGCAAGUGACUAGCAAUAGUAUAUGUUUUAGAUGAAAAAGUUCAUUAAAGAAAAGAGAAGGCUUGCUCUGUUUAAAUCCCCACCCCCUCCCUCCUUUGGCAGAAAAAGCAAAGGUGACCAAUAUAAGAGAGGAGGUUAGACAAAUAUUAACAUUAUUCUUUCAUGGCAUUGAUUUUCACACUGACUUGGUAGAAUGAAAUUUCAGAGAAAUUACGCUGACCAUAUUUUAUUGAUACAACACGAGCUGCAAAUCUUGUACAAAGAAUAAAGAAAGCAUCAACAAUCACAUCAGUUUGGCAUGUUCAAGAGGGAGAGUGAAUUAAGCAUUAGACUUGGAAAGUUCAUUAAAUAACAUACCUUUUGAUCAACUUUCCAUAGUUGGAAAAGCAUAAUUGGAGCGAAUUUAGAAAAGUAAAAGAAUCACAUAUAUAUAUAUAUAUAUAUAUAUAUAUAUAUAGAGCUAUUCAUAAUGAUAAAUAAUUUUAUAUAAUUUGUUAAUCAAUAAAAAAAAUACUUAUAAUAAUCUUUUAAGAAAGUUGUGCUCAGUCAUAUAUAUUUUUUUAUAUUCAAAUUCAUCAAUUUUUGAUUAUGUGUUGAAAAAUAUCGAUUUCUUUAGAAUUGAAUCUUAGACGUUUUAAUUUACAUUACUCUUAUUUUUAAGUUGAAGUGUUGAGACUUAUUGGCUCAAAUGUAACAGAAUCACUUGGACGAUUUGCAUAUUUUUUUUUAAAUAAUUUAUUAAUUAUUUUCAACUUACUCAUACUUAGCCAAACUUCAAAAAAAAAUUAAUACAAUCAAUAUCUAAUAUUCUUAUGGUAUUUCUAUUUAAACUUAUAAUCCUAAAUAUAAAACUAUAAUGCAUAAAAUAUAAAAAUUAAAUAUGAUAUAUCAGAUUAAUAAUUUCCUUUUACAUAAUCAGGAUCGUUUAAAGACUAUAUAUUCAAGAUAAUUUCAUUUCAACUAAAUAUAAAACAUAAAACACAUAAAAAAAUACUCAAGAUAAACUCCUUUUAUAUAAUUAGGANAUAUAUUAAAAUUUAAAAAAUUUUAUAUGAUAUAGAAAAAAUUUUAAAAAUUUGGGGGCUGCUGUGUAAAGGAGAAUAUAUAUACUUCCACAUAGGACCAACUGGCAAAGCAUGAUUAAUUUGUACUAGUAAAUGUCUGGAGAUUGAUGAUUAGCCUUGAUCUGCCAUAAUUCAUUGAAUCACUUUGGAAUGGGGCGGCUCUGAUUUUGCCACCUUUUUCGGUCCAAUGGAAUCAUAAAGUUAGUAAUUAAAGGAGUGAAUGGAAGAGCAAGCCAAAAUAAGGAUGAGUCUUUUGGUCAAAAACCGACAACAGCUUAUUACUAUAUAAUUUUCUUCUUUCCUCUCUUCUAUAAACCAUGAUGGGCAAUGAAAACAGAUUUUAUUUGUUUAAUAAAAUCUCAUGACUUAAGGUGAGCCUUUGUUUGUACUUGAACGGCCGUGAAAAGCUGCGUGCCAGUUUCAUAAAACCCAGUCAGACACAACGUUUCUGCUCAACUCAUCCCUUUUACCUUACUUUAGCGUCCUUUGCUCUUCCAUUUCUCAAAACCCUUUUAUUUUCUUCCUUUGAUCUUCGAUUCUCUUUUCCUUUUCCUUUGUUUUUUUGGCUUGCUCCGUUGUUUCUUUCUCAUCUCUUUUCCCUUCACCUCAAGGUGUCGGCUUCUCACAUUCCUCUACUUUCCACCCAAUAAACCAGAAACCUUUCACUUUGAUUCUUAGUUGCCUCUUUCUUCAUAGCUACAGCUAAUGGAGAAAACCACCGUUUCCAAUUUCUUACCAUUCUGAUUAUUUGCCUUGCUCAUAUCGUUUAUUGAUAUAUUCGUCUUGCUGUUUUCAUUUUUGGGUCUUCUCGAUCCCCUGUUGUCUACUUCUUCUGUCAUUUGCUUUGCUUUUCUGUUGAAUUAAAAAAAUGGAACCUAUUCUUACUGGUGCUGCUGCCAACCUUUCUUCGGAAGCUGCAAAAGGCAUCUUCCAAGAUAUGAAACGUCAUAUCAGAUAUGUAAUCAUUUACAAGAAAAAUGUCGACAAGUUUGAGGAGAAACUUAAGAUGUUGAUAGCAAAAAGAGCAAGUCUGCAGCAAGAGGUUGAUGCUGCAGACAGGAACGGGGAGAAGAUAAAAGCGGACGUCCAACAUUGGAGCAACACAGUGGACAAGGUAAUCAAUGAAGAUGUGAAGAAAAUGAAGGAUCUUGAAGACAAAGCAAAGAACAAGUGCUUCAUUGGCUUGUGUCCCAAUAUCAAGUCUCGCAACCAGCUUAGCAGGAAAGCAGAAGAAGGUGUCGCGACUAUUGACGACCUUAUCCAACAGUGUCAAUUUAACGGAGUGGGAUACCGUGAUGUUCCAGAAGCUAUAUUGGACGCAUCUCCUAAAGACUUUGAGACCUUUAAAUCAAGAGAAAAGGUUUUCAACGAUAUCAUGGAGGCUAUAAAAGACGCUACUAUCAACAUGAUAGGGUUGUAUGGGUUGGCUGGUAUGGGCAAAACAUCACUAGUCAAAGAAGUUGCCAGACAAGUCCAAGAGCUUAAGUUAUUUGAUUCGGUGGUUACCGUAAUUAUGACUCAGACGCCGGACAUUCAGAACAUUCAAGAUCAAAUUGCAGAGUUGUUGGGUCUAAGACUUGAAGACAAGAGUACGGUUGUAAGAGCACAUAGAUUGUGCGAAAGGUUGAAAAAAGGGAAGAAGGUUCUUGUUGUUUUAGAUAAUGUUUGGAAGAAAUUGGACCUCGAGGAAGUUGGAAUUCCAUUUGGAAACCAACACAAGGGAUGCAAGAUAUUGUUGACAUCAAGAGAUCAAAAUGUUCUCUCCAAUGGGAUGGAUGCUGAGAAAACUUUUUCAAUUGGUGAUUUAGACGAUGAAGAAGCUUGGGACUUGUUUAGGAAGAUGGUUGGGGAUAGUGUUGAAAGUGCUGAGUUGCGAUCUACAGCAAUUGAGGUAGCCCAAAGGUGUGCAAGAUUACCGCUGGCCAUUGCAACAGUUGCAAGGGCAUUGCGAAAUAAAAGUUUAUUUGCUUGGGAGGAUGCUUUACGGCAACUACAGAGGCCUUCCUCAAGCAACUUCACUGGGAUAUCCGCUGACGUAUAUUCAGCUAUAGAGUUGAGUUACAAUCAUUUAGAAAGUGAUGAACUUAAACAAACUUUCCUACUUUGCACUCUACUGCGCCAUGAUUCAAGCAUUGAUUACUUGUUGCAAUGUGCGAUUGGUUUGGGUUUAAUUAAUGGUGUCAGCACCGUGAAGGAAGCACGGAAUAGGUUGUUAACACUGGUGAGUAACCUCAAAGCCUCUUGUUUGUUACUUGAUAAUAACCUCAAUGACCGUUACUUUGAUAUGCAUGAUCUUGUUUAUGAUGUCGCCGUGUCAAUCGCUUCUAAGGACAAUCAUGUCUUUGCAUUAAACGAGGAAGUUCUGGAAGAUUGGCCAAAUGGAGAGAAAAUGAACAAGAUUUAUUUGCGAUAUCCUAGUAUAAUUGGAGAGCUUCCUUCCGAGUUGAAUUGUCCAGAGGUUGUUCUUUUCAUUUUCUUUAGCGAAGAUCUUUCCCUCAAAAUGCCACCUAGCUUCUUUAACGAAACAAAAAAUCUUAAAGUCUUAGAUUUGAGUGAUAUGCAAUUUUCUUCUUUACCUUUGUCAACUUGUCUCUUAACAAGCCUUCGUGCAUUGUUCCUGAAUCGAUGUGAAUUGAGAGAUAUAACCAGUAUUGGAGAACUUAAGAAUUUGGAAAUUCUUAACCUUUCAUAUUCUGAUAUCAAAAUUCUACCUAAGGAUAUUGGGCGACUGGUUAAAUUAAAACUGUUAGAUUUAAGUCAUUGUACUAAACUCAAAAUAAUUUCACCAGGUGUCUUAUCAAGCUUGUCUAGAUUAGAAGAAUUAUAUAUGGGUGGCACCUUUAUUCAAUGGGAAGUAGGGGGACAUGCCAACCAACGAGGCAGUAUUGCUAGUCUUGCUGAAUUGAAUACUCUGUCUUGUUUGACCACUUUAGAAGUCCAUAUUCCUGAUGCCGAGGCCAUAUCAAGGGGCUUGCUCUUUAAAGAGUUGCACAAGUUGAUCAGAUACCAGAUUUUCAUAGGAAAGGAAUGGGAAUGGUUUGGUGAGUAUGAGCAUUCAAGGACUCUGAAACUCAAGUUAAGUACAAGUAUUGAUCAUUUGGAUCAUGGAAUUAAGUUGCUAUUGAAGAAAACUGAAGCUUUAUAUUUAGAUGACCUUAAAAGUGUCACGAUUGCAAUGCAAGAGUUCAAAGAUGAAGAAAGCUUAUCGCAUUUGAAGAAUCUCCAUAUCCAAAAUGAUUCAGUGAUCAAAUAUAUCAUUAUUGAUAAUGGUAUAGUUGAUAAAAAUGAAUUUCUUCAAUUACAAUCUUUGACACUUCAAAAUCUACCUCAGCUCAUUAGUUUUUGUUCUGAAGAUGAAAACGGCUCUACCUCCAGGGUUCAAGAUGAGUUGCCUCUAUUUAGUGAAAAGGUAUUUAUUACUUUUCAUUUUUCACUCAUUCUAAAGCAUAUGUUGAUCUCAUUUAUUAGUUUCUUAAAAUUUUCUUCUUAUGAACAGCCAACGUUCUCAAAUGUUAAAUUAGUAUUAUUUUAGAAUCUCUCUCCUUCGCUUUUUUGCUAAUUGAUCUUCAAUAUCUAUUAUGAGUAAAAACAUACAUUGAAUAUCUAUUUUAAAUUUGACACUCUACAAUCCGUUUAUAAAAAUUGUCUAGUGCUAUACUGAUCCUUUGUUAAAGUUUUAUGCAAGAGCCUAGCAUAAUUGUAAGAUGAGUGAGGGCAUAGUUAGAGAUCUUAGGUUUGAGAUUUUGUUCAUGCAGAUAAAUAAAUUUCAAUAUAUAUCUACAUUCUAAAAAAAAACUGAUGCCUUCUCCUCCAUUUAAAAAAAACAGGUUGCCACAUUGUGUGAAAGCCAUUUCCUUUUGUUUCCAUUUUUCGCUACCAUCCACGAUUGAUAAACCGAACCAUGUCAUAGUGCCCAUUUCAAAGCCUGAACAUCAACAAAACCCACUUCAGUGAUUGUUUAAUACAUUAGAAAUCACUUCUCCGUAAAAUGGAAGUAAUUAUUUCUCCUGAACUCAGUUGCCAUUGAAUUGGCAAACCCAUUCCUUCCUUUUUAAUCAUAGAAUGUUAUGUAAUUAUGCUAAAUAAGCUAGUCUUUCUUCUGUUGUCUUUUUCUUUUUUUUUUUUCACACAAUUUUUAAUCUAGAUUAAUUACUUGUCUGCAGUCGUUGUUCCCUUGCUUGGAGAAUUUGCGGUUGUCCUCAAUUAGUGUUGAAAGGAUAUGGCAUGAUUCUUUCUGCAAUCAUGAGAAUUUGACAAGUUUGAUCAUCGAGAAUUGUGGCAACUUAAAACGUUUAUUAUCAUUUUCUAUGUCUAGGAAGCUAGUGCAUCUCAAAUGCUUUGAGAUAAUUGGAUGCAAGUGCCUAAGAGAGAUAAUUUUUGCAGAGGAUAUAGAGGAAGAAAGCAAAGAUACGAUUUUAUUUCCUCAAUUAAACUCUCUAAAGUUACAAGAUCUUCAGCAUCUCAUUGGAUUUUUGUUAGAACGUCGGAAUAUUGAAUUUCCGUCCUUGAAGUCACUAAAGAUAGAGAAAUGCCCAGAACUAAAGGGGUUCAUAUACGAAUCUACAAUGGAAGGGAGCCAAAAUUUUUCUAGUCAAGUUCUCUUUGACGAAAAGGUAGAGUAUUGUUAGCAUUCUUUAUUAUCCAUGUUUUCCCAUUGCCAUGCUUUUGGCCUUGAUUAUAGGAACAAAUGCUUCUAAACAUUUCAUUAAUUGGCAUGAAUUAAUUACAUACAGGUUGCAUUUCUUAGUUUGGAGAAAAUUUCUAUUUCCAAAUUGAGAAACAUGAAGAUGAUAUGGAAGAACCAACUCGCUGCGAAUUCCUUUCACAAACUACAGGAAAUGGAAGUUGAAGAAUGUGACCAGCUACUGACCAUUUUUCCAUCUAAUAUGUUGAGAGCAUUUCAAGGACUGCAAACUCUAACAGUUCAUAAAUGUGUUUCGGUAGAAGAAGUAUUUGAAGUCGGAAGCUCAAAUAUGGAAGAAACAGGUGCUGUCACCAGUCAACUAAGAGAGUUGCAUAUUUGGCAUCUACCAAGCCUCAAGAAUAUUUGGAAGAAUGAUCCCAAAGGAAUUUUUACAUUUGAAAAUCUGCGGGUAAUAAGUGUUUGGGAUUGUUGCAGUCUGAAGAAUGUAUUUCCAGCCUCAGUAGCCAGAGUUCUUCCACAACUUAGAGAUCUUCACAUAAAUGAUUGCGGAGUGGAAGAAAUUGUUUCCAAGGAGGAAGGAUUGGAAACAACUGUCACUUUCAGGUUUGAUCAAGUAUGCUACCUUCGUCUUUGGCAGCUACCAGAACUCAAAUGCUUUUACCCGGAGGUACAUACGACAAAGUGGCCAAUGUUAAAAAAGUUAAAAGUAUUUGGCUGUGACAAAAUGAAGAUAUUUGGUACAGAACGUCUCAGCAUCUCAGAUAUGGCUAAAGUCGAUGGACAACUUGAGUCCACUUUAAUCCAACCACCGCUUUUGUUGGCUGAAAAGGUAUGCAUGUGCCUCCACCUCCACUCUUUCUCAACUGAUUAAGAUGCUAACGUGUACGUGAAAAUCAAUUUAACAGGCCCUUGUAAUGUACUAGCUAUAUUUCCAACUUUUUAUUAACAAACUAGAGUGCCAAAAAUAAACAUCAUUUUAAUCAAAUGUGAUCUUACAAAAAAUCAUUAAAUACAACAAAAUCAAAUUUUUAUUAUUGUUAUUAUUUUUAUAGGAAAUUGCAUAUGUCAAUGACUAGCUAGUUGAAUUUAUAUAAAUUAAGUGGUAUGUAAUACUUUAAAAAAAAAAAAUCACUUCCAUGUUUUGAUUUCACUCACAAAUACAGACGAUAACUUCAAAUUUGCUAGUUUCAAAGAGAAAAAGCAAAAAAAUAGUGUUACAUUAAACAUUUAGUCACUUAAUGUUUCAAAAAUUUCUAUUUAGUCGUUCAACUUUAAAAAAUUCUUAUUUUGAUCACUUAAUUGUCUGAAAAAUGUUAGUCAAUCAUUACCUUUUUUAAAGACAAAAGUCAACCAUUGGCUUCUAACAAUUGAAUGGUAAACAUUAACUUUUACAAAUUUGAUAACCAAAUUGUGAUUAUUCAAAAUUAAAUGACCAAAAUAAAAUUUUAUGAAAAGUUAAGUGACUAAAUGCGUAAUAAAAAAUGGAGUAUAUAUACCUUGUUUGAGUAUAAAUAAAAAGAAGUAUUCCAAAGUUUCAAAUGUAAUCUGAGUGUAUCAAGACUUGCGCAAUAAUUUUUAUUAGUACAAUAAUUUUUGCAUUGUUGAAAGAAGAACAUUGACUCCAAAACUGUUACUUUAUUGGUUUUCAGGUCAUCCCUCAAUUAGAAAAAUUGUCAUUAAAUAUUGAUGACAUUAAUGCAAUGAUAAGUGAUAGUCAAUUUUCAAGAAGCCUUUUUCGUGAAAUAAAAGUUCUUAGGGUGUGCAACUCUGGUGAUGAAUCUGUUGUUUUCCCAAUUACUUUCCUAGAAAGAUUUCAAAAUCUAGAAAAGCUUGUGGUGAUUUCUUAUGAAUUCAAAGAGCUGUUCUGCGAUGAAAGAGAUAGUGGUAUGGAGACAUAUGCUGGGACACUGCCCACGAUCAGAAGCCUAAAAUUGAUUUGUCUUGAUAAUCUCAAACAUUUAUGGAAGCAGGACGUACAAGUAGACCGCAUUCUCCCUAAUCUGGAAACUCUUCAAGUC
rnacentral:lncRNA from 1 species